rnacentral:rRNA from 1 species
AGAGUUUGAUCCUGGCUCAGGAUGAACGCUGGCGGCGUGCCUAAUACAUGCAAGUCGAGCGAACGGACGAGAAGCUUGCUUCUCUGAUGUUAGCGGCGGACGGGUGAGUAACACGUGGAUAACCUACCUAUAAGACUGGGAUAACUUCGGGAAACCGGAGCUAAUACCGGAUAAUAUUUUGAACCGCAUGGUUCAAAAGUGAAAGACGGUCUUGCUGUCACUUAUAGAUGGAUCCGCGCUGCAUUAGCUAGUUGGUAAGGUAACGGCUUACCAAGGCAACGAUGCAUAGCCGACCUGAGAGGGUGAUCGGCCACACUGGAACUGAGACACGGUCCAGACUCCUACGGGAGGCAGCAGUAGGGAAUCUUCCGCAAUGGGCGAAAGCCUGACGGAGCAACGCCGCGUGAGUGAUGAAGGUCUUCGGAUCGUAAAACUCUGUUAUUAGGGAAGAACAUAUGUGUAAGUAACUGUGCACAUCUUGACGGUACCUAAUCAGAAAGCCACGGCUAACUACGUGCCAGCAGCCGCGGUAAUACGUAGGUGGCAAGCGUUAUCCGGAAUUAUUGGGCGUAAAGCGCGCGUAGGCGGUUUUUUAAGUCUGAUGUGAAAGCCCACGGCUCAACCGUGGAGGGUCAUUGGAAACUGGAAAACUUGAGUGCAGAAGAGGAAAGUGGAAUUCCAUGUGUAGCGGUGAAAUGCGCAGAGAUAUGGAGGAACACCAGUGGCGAAGGCGACUUUCUGGUCUGUAACUGACGCUGAUGUGCGAAAGCGUGGGGAUCAAACAGGAUUAGAUACCCUGGUAGUCCACGCCGUAAACGAUGAGUGCUAAGUGUUAGGGGGUUUCCGCCCCUUAGUGCUGCAGCUAACGCAUUAAGCACUCCGCCUGGGGAGUACGACCGCAAGGUUGAAACUCAAAGGAAUUGACGGGGACCCGCACAAGCGGUGGAGCAUGUGGUUUAAUUCGAAGCAACGCGAAGAACCUUACCAAAUCUUGACAUCCUUUGACAACUCUAG